UACGUAGGGUGCGAGCGUUAAUCGGAAUUACUGGGCGUAAAGCGUGCGCAGGCGGUUUUGUAAGUCAGAUGUGAAAUCCCCGGGCUUAACCUGGGAACUGCGUUUGAAACUACAAGGCUAGAGUGUGGCAGAGGGGGGUGGAAUUCCACGUGUAGCAGUGAAAUGCGUAGAGAUGUGGAGGAACACCGAUGGCGAAGGCAGCCCCCUGGGUUAACACUGACGCUCAGGCACGAAAGCGCGGGGAGCAAACAGG
rnacentral:rRNA from 1 species